rnacentral:rRNA from 1 species
GAUGAACGCUAGCUGCAGGCUUAACACAUGCAAGUCGAGGGGAAACGAUAUUGGAAGCUUGCCUCUGAUAGGCGUCGACCGGCGCCCGGGCGAGUAACGCGUAUCCAUCCUGCACACCACUUGGGGAUAACCUUGCGAAAGUAAGACUAAUACCCAAUGAUAUUUAUAGAAGGCAUCCGCAAUGAAUUAAAGAUUUAUAGGUGAUGGAUGGGGAUGCGUCUGAUUAGCUUGUUGGCGGGGUAACGGCCAACCAAGGGGACGAUCAGUAGGGGUUCUAAGAGGAAGGUCCCCCACAUUGGAACUGAGACACGGUCCAAACUCCUACGGGAGGCAGCAGUGAGAAAUAUUGGUCAAUGGGCGAGAGCCUGAACCAGCCAAGUAGCGUGCAGGAUGACGGCCCUAUGGGUUGUAAACUGCUUUUAUAGGGGAAUAAAGUUAGCUACGUGUAGUUUUUUGCAUGUACCCUAUGAAUAAGGACCGGCUAAUUCCGUGCCAGCAGCCGCCGUAA